GACCUCAAAUCAGGUAGGACUACCCGCUGAACUUAAGCAUAUCAAUAAGCCGGAGGAAAAGAUCAUUACAGAAUGAAAAGUGCUUAACUGCAUUUUUUCUUACACAUGUGUUUUUCUUUUUUUGAAAA
rnacentral:rRNA from 1 species